rnacentral:rRNA from 1 species
UACGUAGGGUGCAAGCGUUGUCCGGAAUUAUUGGGCGUAAAGAGCUCGUAGGCGGUUCGUCACGUCGGCUGUGAAAUCCCGAGGCUCAACCUCGGGUCUGCAGUCGAUACGGGCGGACUUGAGUACUGCAGGGGAGACUGGAAUUCCUGGUGUAGCGGUGAAAUGCGCAGAUAUCAGGAGGAACACCGGUGGCGAAGGCGGGUCUCUGGGCCGAAAUUGACGCUGAGGAGCGAAAGCGUGGGGAGCGAACAGG